GAUGAACGCUAGCGGCAGGCCUAAUACAUGCAAGUCGAACGGUAACAUUGGUGCUUGCACCAGAUGACGAGUGGCGCACGGGUGCGUAACGCGUAUGCAACCUACCUUUUACUAGAGUAUAGCCCAGAGAAAUUUGGAUUAAUCCUCUAUAACAUCUUUUAAUUUCAUGAUUUUAAGAUUAAAGUUUUAACGGUAAAAGAUGGGCAUGCGUCCUAUUAGUUUGUAGGUGAGGUAACGGCUCACCUAGACUACGAUAGGUAGGGGCCCUGAGAGGGGGAUCCCCCACACUGGUACUGAGACACGGACCAGACUCCUACGGGAGGCAGCAGUAAGGAAUAUUGGACAAUGGACGAAAGUCUGAUCCAGCCAUGCCGCGUGCAGGAUGACAGCCCUACGGGUUGUAAACUGCUUUUAUACAGGAAGAAACACUCCGACGUG
rnacentral:rRNA from 1 species